rnacentral:rRNA from 1 species
CUCCAGACUCCUACGGGAGGCAGCAGUGGGGGAUAUUGCACAAUGGGGGGAACCCUGAUGCAGCGACGCCGCGUGAGCGAUGAAGUAUUUCGGUAUGUAAAGCUCUAUCAGCAGGGAAGAAAAUGACGGUACCUGACUAAGAAGCCCCGGCUAACUACGUGCCAGCAGCCGCGGUAAUACGUAGGGGGCAAGCGUUAUCCGGAUUUACUGGGUGUAAAGGGAGCGUAGACGGCAGUGCAAGUCUGGAGUGAAAGGCGGGGGCUCAACCCCCGGACUGCUCUGGAAACUGUACGGCUAGAGUGCAGGAGAGGUAAGUGGAAUUCCUAGUGUAGCGGUGAAAUGCGUAGAUAUUAGGAGGAACACCAGUGGCGAAGGCGGCUUACUGGACUGUAACUGACGUUGAGGCUCGAAAGCGUGGGGAGCAAACAGGAUUAGAUACCCCCGUAU